rnacentral:rRNA from 1 species
UCGGGAAUUUUGUGCAAUGGGCGAAAGCCUGACACAGCAACGCCGCGUGAAGGAUGAAGUCCCUCGGGAUGUAAACUUCGUAAGAAUAGGAAGAAUAAAUGACGGUACUAUUUGUAAGGUCCGGCUAACUACGUGCCAGCAGCCGCGGUAAUACGUAGGGACCAAGCGUUGUUCGGAUUUACUGGGCGUAAAGGGCGCGUAGGCGGUGUGUCAAGUCAGUUGUGAAAUCUCCGAGCUUAACUCGGAACGGUCAACUGAUACUGUCACACUAGAGUACAGAAGGGGCAAUCGGAAUUCUUGGUGUAGCGGUGAAAUGCGUAGAUAUCAAGAGGAACACCUGAGGCGAAGGCGGGUUGCUGGGCUGAUACUGACGCUGAGGCGCGAAAGCUAGGGUAGCAAACGGGAUUAGAUACCCAAGUAGUCCCUGAGCGGG